CCUAGUAACUGCGAGUGAAGAGGGAAAAGCUCAAAUUUAAAAUCUGGCAGCUUUGCUGUCCGAGUUGUAAUUUAGAGAAGUGUUACCCGCGCUGGACCGUGUAUAAGUCUCCUGGAAUGGAGCGUCAUAGAGGGUGAGAAUCCCGUCUUUGACACGGACUACCAGGGCAUUGUGGUGCGCUCUCGAAGAGUCGAGUUGUUUGGGAAUGCAGCUCUAAAUGGGUGGUAAAUUCCAUCUAAAGCUAAAUAUUGGCGAGAGACCGAUAGCGAACAAGUACCGUGAGGGAAAGAUGAAAAGAACUUUGGAAAGAGAGUUAAACAGUACGUGAAAUUGCUGAAAGGGAAACGCUUGAAGUCAGUCGCGUUGGCCAGGGAUCAGCCUUGCUUCUGUGAGGUGUACUUCCUGGUUGACGGGUCAGCAUCAGUUUCGACCACUGGAGAAAGGCUUGGGGAAUGUGGCACCUUUGGGUGUGUUAUAGCCUCUUGUUGUAUACAGUGGUUGGGACUGAGGAACUCAGCACGCCGCAAGGCCGGGUUUCGACCACGUUCGUGCUUAGGAUGCUGGCAAAAUGGCUUUAAGCGACCCGUCUUGAAACACGGACCAAGGAGUCUAACAUGCUUGCGAGUGUUUGGGUGGAAAACCCGAGCGCGCAAUGAAAGUGAAAGUUGGGAUCUCUGUCGUGGAGAGCACCGACGCCCGGACCUGAUGUUUACUGACGGAUCUGCGGUAGAGCACGUAUGUUGGGACCCGAAAGAUGGUGAACUAUGCCUGAAUAGGGCGAAGCCAGAGGAAACUCUGGUGGAGGCUCGUAGCGAUUCUGACGUGCAA
rnacentral:rRNA from 1 species